rnacentral:lncRNA from 1 species
UUCUUAAAUUCUUAGAUAAAUAAAUAAAGGAAUUUCGUUUAUCAUUCUAAACUAGCAAGUGAAUAAAUAAGCAUUUUUAAUGUAUAGACAUUAAAAGUAGCUAAUCAAGGAAACUAAAUAUACACUUAAUUAUAUACAAACUAUGAAAAUUGCAGAUCAUGAUAUUGGUGAUCGCAAAGAUCAUUAAUAAAAUUGAUUGCACCAUGAUUGUUUCCUUUACCUUCACCCUCAUUAAUUACAGUUAAAACAUUUAUUUUAAAAUUAAUAAACACGUAAAAAAAAUUAAUUAAAAAAGUAUCUUAUCGUCCUAGUAAAGCACGAAAACAGAUGCUGUAUUCAUAAUCUGAUGAAUCAUAUUCUCCCCAAACCUUAUAGUAUAUUUUAUAGAAUAAGAUGGGGUUUGAAUGCUCAUUUUCAUGCUUCUUUAUUAUAAGAAAAAAGCAAAUAGAACAUUUACUAACUUUAAAUGAGCAAGGCAGCGCAUCAAUUUUUCUAGUGCCUAAUUAAUUAAUUCAGUCAUUGUAUCAUCUUUUAUUUUGGCUUAUCAUAAAGAAGAUGCCUCUGAUUAUAUCCUUUCGGAACAAAUUUCUUUUCUUUUUUUUUUCAGUUGAUAUUUAUAAUGUAAAGCGAUGUGCUUUAACAAAAGAGCCUCCGCACGCCCCAUAUAUAAUAUAAUUUUUAUAGUAGGAAUUUUUCAAAGUGGAUCAAGGACUGGUUCUUAUCACAAUCCAUUGCCUCAUUGGCUCAUCAUAUGAGGCUGGUCCAUAGAACUCGAUAUAACUAGUAAGAUUUGAGCACGUGUUUCUGCAUUAUUUAUUAAUGAUAUGCGAUUCCCACCUGGCAUCAGAAACAAAAAUGAGCUCGACUCAUUGCUGUGGGGGGUUAAUUUGAUAUUAUAUAAAAACAAAUCUUAUUAACUCACAUUUAAAAACUAAUUCGAUCGUAAUUACGAAGGUCGCCACAAGAUAAUUAUAAAAAGAUAAUUUUAACUUUUGUGUUAUCAUCACCAAACGUUAUUAACAAGUCUGUCUCAUUUGUCGACAACGAUCAGCACGCUCUCUUUUUGCUGUCACUUCCAAUCUUUUGGCUAGAGAACAAGUAGGAGCAUUGUGUAAUGUUAAAGCUCGCGAGAGCUAUCACUUUCAUUUUCAUGGCUCUGUUUCUGAUCAACUGUGCACGGACCCCGCUGUUUAAAGCCUUGACUAAUAAAAGCUCUUGAUAUCGACUUGACACGUGUGUGAUGCAUAUGCCCUUUUCUUCCUCUUUUUCUUUUUCAGUUUUUUUUUUUUUGUGUAUAAUGCGUUAUUGGUGAUAGUUAAGAGAUAGCUUGUCAAAAUCACUCAAAUCCACAUCCGAUGAGAUGAUUUAGACAAAACGUAUAAUGAUAAAUUAAUUAAGGGUUUCGUUACGAUGAAGUUGUUUUAAAGUU